AAAGCGUGCGCAGUCGGUUUUGUAAGACUGUCGUGAAAUCCCCGGGCUCAACCUGGGAAUGGCGAUGGUGACUGCAAGGCUAGAGUUUGGCAGAGGGGGUUAGAAUUCCACGUGUAGCAGUGAAAUGCGUAGAUAUGUGGAGGAACACCGAUGGCGAAGGCAGCCCCCUGGGUCAAAACUGACGCUCAUGCACGAAAGCGUGGGGAGCAAACAGGAUUAGAUACCCCUGU
rnacentral:rRNA from 1 species